CUGGAAUGAGCCCUUGUCUAAAGUAUCGAUCUUGGACUGCCGGUCUCAUAGGUGGCUCGAGGGUCCAAGUAUGCGGGUGGAACGGUAUUGGUCAGCAGCUAAUGUUCUUGAUGACAAGAUAUAUGUAGCAGGAGGCUGUGAUGACAACGGUCCCUCCAAGUGGAUGGAGGUUUUCGAUCCAAAAACCCAAACUUGGGAGACUAUGUUGAACCCUCUCAGGGAGAGAUGUGAUAAUCUUGUAUCAAAGAGUGCGGUGAUUGACGAUGAG
rnacentral:lncRNA from 1 species